GCUCGGAUGGUCUAGUGAUAUGAUUCGCCCUUAGGGAACUAACUUAUUCUUUAACUGGGCGAGGUCCCCAGUUCAAUCAUGGGUUCGGGCC
rnacentral:tRNA from 1 species